CGGACGGGUGAGUAACGCGUGGAUAACCUGCCGUAUGCGAGGGGGAUACCAACUGGAAACAGUUGCUAAUACCGCAUAAGCGCACAGUGUCGCAUGACACGGUGUGAAAAGAUUUAUCGGCAUACGAUGGAUCCGCGUCCGAUUAGCCAGUUGGCGGGGUAACGGCCCACCAAAGCGACGAUCGGUAGCCGGCCUGAGAGGGCGGACGGCCACAUUGGGACUGAGACACGGCCCAAACUCCUACGGAAGGCAGCAG
rnacentral:rRNA from 1 species